GGAGGGGUUGUGCUUCCCUCUCGCCCUCAGCCCCACUACAUUCCCAGCCCCAAGAGAUCACCUUCCCUCCUUCCUCCCACCUCCGACACCCACCGGGAAGGGGGUGAACCCUUCCUGGGGGUGAAUGGAGUGGAGUUGGAAGCCUGGGGUAGGAGACCGUCAUCCCCCGCGCUCUCAUCUGGGACUCAGGCUGCAGAACAAAACUGGGACGCCCGCGGCUUCCCAGCGGGAUUUGGCGAGCUCUGAGACCAGUGGCGGCCUCUGUGGGAUCCCUACCUAGUCCCUUACUCUCUUCGGGUCUCAGUUGCCUCAUUUGUGGAGCGGGCUUUUGGUCUCUGCGCUCCCUAAGGUCCCUUUGAUCUUGACCUUGGCACGUGUGGCCCACCCUCCCCUCAAUCAGGGCUCAGAGCUGCUGAGGGUCAGUGGGAAAAGAGCCCCGGGACAACCACCCGCACCCCUACAGGAGUCAAAGGGAAGAGAAGGAAGACAGUUAAUUCUGGGACAAGCAAAAAGAACGGUUUUGGAGUCACGGGGGCGUUCCUGCACAAAGGACUUGGAUGUUGUGUUUUUUCUUCUUUUCUGGCGUUUUCCGUUCCCAGCUUUGAAGUCGGGUUCAGACCUCCUGGAGACCACGGACUGAGCGGAGGGGUGGGGGUAGCAGAACCCAGAAGCCGCGCUGGCCCCUCCUCAAUCGCUCCCACACUCUCACAAGCCCAAGGCCAGUCUGUGUGGACACCGAACGCGCCAAGCCGGAUCCAGGCGAGAGCGGCCACUCGGACAGGUGGGGACCAGGGGUGGGAGAGGGUCCCCUAGGCCUGAGAACACCGACCUCGGGGAAUUUUUUGGGGAGUGGGAGGGAGCCAUACAGGGAGAAAAGCAAAAUAAAAAAAUAGAAGAAAAUUCAGGCGUAGACAUUGAAUUAACUCCGGAUUUUUUCUUUUUUUCGGCGAAAGAGAAAGGGGUUAAACCCAAAUUCGGGUCUGGGUUCUGGGGU
rnacentral:lncRNA from 1 species